GACAGAGGGUGCAACCGUUGUUCGGAAUUACUGGGCGUAAAGCGCGUGUAGGCGGCCCGGAAAGUCGGAUGUGAAAGCCCUGGGCUUAACCUAGGAAGUGCAUUCGAAACUCCCGUGGCUUGAGUUCUGGAGAGGGAAGCGGAAUUCUCGGUGUAGAGGUGAAAUUCGUAGAUAUCGAGAGGAACACCGGUGGCGAAGGCGGCUUCCUGGACAGUGACUGACGCUGAGACGCGAAAGCGUGGGGAGCAAACAGG
rnacentral:rRNA from 1 species